rnacentral:rRNA from 1 species
UACGUAGGGCGCAAGCGUUAUCCGGAAUUAUUGGCCGUAAAGAGCUCGUAGGCGGUUUGUCGCGUCUGCCGUGAAAGUCCGGGGCUCAACUCCGGAUCUGCGGUGGGUACGGGCAGACUAGAGUGAUGUAGGGGAGACUGGAAUUCCUGGUGUAGCGGUGAAAUGCGCAGAUAUCAGGAGGAACACCGAUGGCGAAGGCAGGUCUCUGGGCAUUAACUGACGCUGAGGAGCGAAAGCAUGGGGAGCGAACAGG